rnacentral:rRNA from 1 species
AUUGAACGCUGGCGGCAUGCUUUACACAUGCAAGUCGAACGGCAGCGCGGGCUUCGGCCUGGCGGCGAGUGGCGAACGGGUGAGUAAUACAUCGGAACGUGCCCAGUGGUGGGGGAUAGCUCGGCGAAAGCCGGAUUAAUACCGCAUACGACCUGAGGGUGAAAGCGGGGGAUCUUCGGACCUCGCGCUCUUGGAGCGGCCGAUGGCAGAUUAGCUAGUUGGUGGGGUAAAGGCCUACCAAGGCGACGAUCUGUAGCUGGUCUGAGAGGACGACCAGCCACACUGGGACUGAGACACGGCCCAGACUCCUACGGGAGGCAGCAGUGGGGAAUUUUGGACAAUGGGCGAAAGCCUGAUCCAGCAAUGCCGCGUGUGUGAUGAAGGCCUUCGGGUUGUAAAGCACUUUUGGCGGGAACGAAAAGGACUGUGCCAAUACCACGGUUCGAUGACGGUACCCGCAGAAUAAGCACCGGCUAACUACGUG